AGCGAACGCUGGCGGCAGGCCUAACACAUGCAAGUCGAACGGAUCCUUCGGGAUUAGUGGCGGACGGGUGAGUAACACGUGGGAACGUGCCCUUUGGUUCGGAACAACUCAGGGAAACUUGAGCUAAUACCGGAUGUGCCCUUCGGGGGAAAGAUUUAUCGCCAUUGGAGCGGCCCGCGUCUGAUUAGCUAGUUGGUGAGGUAAAGGCUCACCAAGGCGACGAUCAGUAGCUGGUCUGAGAGGAUGAUCAGCCACAUUGGGACUGAGACACGGCCCAAACUCCUACGGGAGGCAGCAGUGGGGAAUCUUGCGCAAUGGGCGAAAGCCUGACGCGGCCAUGCCGCGUGAAUGAUGAAGGUCUUAGGAUUGUAAAAUUCUUUCACCGGGGACGAUAAUGACGGCACCCGCAGAAGAAGCACCGGCUAACUCCGUGCCAGCCGCCGCGGUAACAC
rnacentral:rRNA from 1 species